rnacentral:lncRNA from 1 species
AUGCAGAGGAGACCCCGGGGUUUCCCUAGUAACAGGUGGGAGCUGACGGCGCCGGGGCUUCCCCAGCGGCUCUCCCCGCACGCCGGCGGCGGGGCCGGGGCUGCCCAGCCUGGCAAGGUCGGGGCACGCAGCCUCCUCCCCCCUACGGGGCACGCUAGGCGAGGAGCUGCCCCCGGCCCGCAGCGGGAAGGACUGAUUCAUACUAUUCUGAAUAUUUUAAAGUUGGAAAACUCCUGUGGAUCAGCAAAGUAUUUGUGCCUGAAGAUUGAAAAGCUGCGUCCUUUGCACUGUGCAGACUGUUACAGCAGGAAAGACUAUGGAAUGCCUUUCAGGAUGUGGGAUAACUAUGUGGAUGUGGACUCUGCUAUGAAGACAGAAGUAUUUUACUACAAGGAAAUGAUAUUCUGAGGAGGAAUGUAAACUUGUCUGGAAUUUGAGUAGAUUAUGCCAAUAUCUGCGUAUUGCCCUCUUGCUUCCCUUCAUGUUUCACCAGUCAUACUGUAGCUGUUCAAAAUGCUGUCUGUAAGUAAUAUUGUUAUCUGUAGCCAAAGGUUGGAAAAAAAAAAUAUAAAAAAAAAAUCAUUUUGGAAUUUUAUUGUUUGCUCACCAGGAAAGCAACAUGAAGACAGAAAAGAAAGUUUUACCAGAUCAUGUAAAGAAAUGGAAUUCUGAUUAUUUUCCCUACUAAAUAUGAUAAAAGAUAGAAAUUUCUGCAUAUUAUCUGAACAUCAACACCUGCAAUACUUUGAAUCCUACAGUCUUAAAAUAUUAAAAAGGAAUCACAAUAUAGAAUAUAACUUUGAUGAUUAUACAUAGA